UACAGAGGGUGCAAGCGUUGUUCGGAAUUAUUGGGCGUAAAGGGCAGGUAGGUGGUCUUUUAAGUCUGCUGUGAAAUCCCCGGGCUUAACCUGGGAAGUGCGGUGGAUACUGGAAGACUAGAGUGCUAUAGGGGUAUGCGGAAUUGCCGGUGUAGCGGUGAAAUGCGUAGAUAUCUGGAGGAACACCGGUGGCGAAGGCGGCAUCCUGGACCGGUAUUGACGCUGAGGCGCGAAAGCUAGGGGAGCAAACGGG
rnacentral:rRNA from 1 species